ensembl:snRNA U4 U4 spliceosomal RNA
AGCUCUGCGUGGCAGUAUCAUAGCCAAUGAGGUCUAUCCAAGGCACAAUCAUUGCUAAUUGAGAACUAUUCCCAAUACCUCACCAUGACAACUUGAAAUAUGGCCGGCAGUGGCAAUUUCUUUUCUUUUCUUUUUUUUUUUGAGA